UGGGAUUCUGAUAAAUAUUAGACAUGUUUUAUUCGACAAACUAUAAAUGAAAAGUCAACAGUCAAAGUUUAAAGCGGAAAAAACAUUUUAAUUUAAAAAAAAGUUUAACAGUAACUUCCACUAGUCACCAUUCAGUUAGCCUGACUUCAGAUCAGUUCAUACGAACAUGAUGAGAUAACCUUCUAUACAUCAGGGAAGUGUCCCAAAUUAACCCCUAUUCCCUUUAUAGUGAACUACGUAUGCCCAGGGCCAUAAGACUCUGGUCAAACGUUGUGCAAUAUAUAGUGAAUAGGGUUUAAUUUGGGACACUUCAGAGUUUCGACACCUUAUAGCCAUAGAUCAGGGAAAUAGAAUAUACUGCAGCAUCAUCUAUGUACAAAAACAGAUUCACAGAGAACCUGCAUCAGAGAGAGAGAGCCUGCAUCACAUUAACAGAAAACACAGAAUAUAUACAAAUAUCUGAGGUGGUUAUUCCAGUGGUUCCAUUAUACAUAAACAAACGAUAUCCAGCUCAGCUUAAGUAUUUAAAAUAAUUUGACAAAGUAUCCCCCAAGAAGGUUAAGUCCAGUUGUAACCUUUAGCUAAAUGCUAACAGAGCUAGCAGUCUCAGUGGUAGUCUUUAGCUCGAUACUAAAAGAGCUAGCAUGAACUAAACUCAGGUUGUAACCAUGAGCUAGCAGGGUCUCAGAUGGUGGCUGACUCCUGCCCGGUCUUCUCCUCUGCCUCCCCUCCUCCCUCCUCCUCUUUAUUCUUCCUGUGCUUCUUCUUCUUGUUCUUGUGUUUGUGUUCCUUCCUUCCUUCGGCGGGAGGCUCAGCGUCGGCAGAAUGCUUCUUGUGCUUCUUGUGUUUUUUAUGUUUCUUGUGUUUCUUCUUCUUCUUCUUGUCCGUCGCGGUGGAGCCGCUGUGGUUGCUAGGGGAGCCGCCGGGGCUCUGGGAGGCGGGGCUCUGGGUGUUGUGGGAGGGGCUAUGGCUCAGGCCACUGCCUCUCUCCCCGUCUGACCCCUCCCCUUCACUGUAGUCGGGGACGAAGGCUGCCUCGUCCGUCUCUCUACCCAGGUCAGAACACAGACGCUGUCGCCUUGGCUCUGGCCCCGUCCCUCGACUCUCCUCCCUCCCUACCCCUCCUCUUCCUUCCUCCUUCACCCCUCUGGAUUCGGUCUUAGCUGGUUUUCUAAAGUUCACCUGCCCCUUUUUAAGCCCUCUGCCUUCCUCCCUCCUUCUAGUCCCCUCCUCCCUCCCUCUCUUCCCCUCUGUGUUGGCUGUUUUAGAGACACUACCCUGCAUCUCCCUGUCUUGGCUACUAGGUGGUGCUGGUGAGACUUCUCUCCUCAGAGCGUCUCUGGGCAAGGAGGAGGAAACCGCCAACGCCCCGUUCUCCCUGGACCCUGAGUGCUGCUCCUCUUCCUCCUCCUCCUCCUCUCUCUCCCACUUGGACCGGGGUGGAGGCUGGAUGAGGACUCCUCCGGUCCCACGGUCCCUCUCCCUGCCUGGGCUGGGGAACUGGACGGGACUGGGUCUCCUCUGGGUCUGGAGGUCCCGGGGUUUAGACACAGCACCCUGGCUCUGGCCCGGCUCAGACCUCUCCUCUACAGCCCUACUGCUGCUGGAACACACAAUACACAGAUCCAAGAUCAGGGGUUAGAGAGAACAUCAACUAGGAAGCAUUAUAACCAUGUUAUAUACACAGAUCUAGGAUCAGGGGUUAGAGAGAACAUCAACUAGGAAGCAUUAUAACCAUGUUAUAUACACAGAUCUAGGAUCAGGGGUUAGAGAGAACAUCAACUAGGAAGCAUUAUAACCAUGUUAUAUACACAGAUCUAGGAUCAGGGGCUAGAGAGAACAUCAACUAGGAAGCAUUAUAACCAUGUUAUAUACACAGAUCUAAGAUCAGGGGCUAGAGAGAACAUCAACUGGGAAACCAUUAUAACUAAUGUUCCCUCUAAUUUGUUUCGGCACUGAGCAAAUUUCAGGUCUGCCGAGCGCAAACUUGAAUGUUAUGAAAACACCGUGCAACUUCCGGUGCCCGUUUACCGUGAAGGCCCUGCCCGUUAACCGUGAAGGCCCUGCCCGUUUACCGUGAAGGCCCUGCCCGUUUACCGUGAAGGCUGUACCUGCUUUAAGUUCCAGUUUCAACAGUGGACAAGUAGGCUACUGUGGUUAUUUGUUCAGUGAAUGGCACAGAUCCAUAUAUUGCAAUGGCUAUUUGCAUAUAGGCCUACUGCAGCUCUGAUUGGUUGUGUUGCACCGGUCUGUGCAGAAUAUUCGAUCACAAUUCUCACUACAGUAGAAAACUAGAACGUUGAGCGAAGUUCUAACAGUCUGGUCGUUGUUAACUAAAGGAGAAAACUCUAGAACGUUGAGCGAAGUUCUAACAGUCUGGUCGUUGUUAACUAAAGGAGAAAACUCUAGAACGUUGAGCGAAGUUCUAACAGUCUGGUCGUUGUUAACUAAAGGAGAAAACUCUAGAACGUUGAUGAUGAUUGAUCAACAACACGGGUUAAUAAAGAACCGUUGGAAGGUCAGAGAUUGAAAGGGCAACUCACCCAGUUGAAGUGACAGAGUGGUCUGAUGAGUGGUGGACCGUGGGCUCAGAACUCUUUCUGCUGAUCUUUCUGGUCUUCCCAGAACCCUCCUUCACCACUGCUGCUCUGUCUUCAGCUACAGUCUCUCUCUGGGUCCCUGCCGCUCUCUCUCCUGUAGAGGCAGGCCUGUCUACGGAGGACGAGGCCUUCUCUCCUCUUCUCGCUCCUUUCUGUUCCCUGGUGGCUGACCUCUCUCUGGAUGAUGACCUGUCUGUCUUGGCUGAUGCUGGCCUCUCCCUCUCCUUGGAGCUCUCAGCUGGUCUCUCUCUCUCAGUGGGCGGAGUGUACUCGCUCUCUGUUCUCUCCCUGGUGACAUCAGGUUUCUUAACGAUGGCCGAGCGUUCCGCGAUGGUCAUGCGGUCUAGAGAGACCGACCUUCCUCCUCCUCCUCCUCCUCUCUCCGGCAAACGUUCCCCUGACGACGGCCUCUCUGACCUAACAGACCUGACCUCUGACCUCUCGCCAGACGACCUCCGCUCCACCAUCACCGCCACCCUCUCCAUCCCUCCAUCUCUCUCUGCUCCUCCUCUCUCAGGAGCAGCAGGUCUCUCUCCAGUAGAGGUAAUAGUAGUAGUGGUGAUAUUAGUAGCUGGAGCUGGUCUCUCCUCUGGGCGGGACAUACUGCUGUUCCUCCCCAGGUCUCUGUUCAGUUUGAUUCUCCUCUGGGGGAAGGGUUUGACCUGCAGACCCAUGAGAGGCCAGAUAGACCCCCUGUCACUCUCUCUUCUGCCUGCCUCAGAGCUCCCUGGGGUGGGCAGCAGCCCGUCGCCUCUCCCCUCUCUCCCCAGGUCCAUGGAGGAGCCAGGCCCAGGGAUGGAGAUGGAGAUGGGAUGGAAACGGUCUAGCCUCCCUGUCUGUGAGGUACCAGGGAUGGGGAGCAGACCCUCUCCUCUACCAGUCUCUCUGCAUGCCAGGUUCAGGAGGAGGGGAGGCUUGGCUGGAAGUCCUCUCUGGAGGUACGGACCCUCGGCACGGCGGAGCUUAGCCGGGGGGGCCCCCGAUCCCUCUGUCCAUCCCCCUCCCCCUUUCCCUCUCCUCCACUCUCCUCCUCUUCUCUGCUGGGGAGGGAGGUGUAGGCUGGAGGGGGCGACCAGGGGGGCGUACCCCGACACUGUGAAUGGGAUCUCUCCUUCCCCCGCGGGCAUCAGCCAGGUGUUUAGGGAGGUCGUGGGGGUGAGGGGGGAGGGGGCGGGGCAGGGGGAGUUUAGCCAUACCUCCUCUAACAGUAGGGGUGCUCCGCCCCUUCUCUCUCUUGAUCAGCUCGUCUGGUUUGACCUUCGAUGCUUUGGUUGGUUUAGUGGCUGAAGACUCUUUGUUCUUUGAGGCUGUGACCGUCGCCUCUCCUCCUGUCUUUCUCUUAACCUUCUCUCCUUUCACCUUGCCUUCCGUCUUUAUUUUCACCUUACCCCCCUUCUCCUUCCUGCUCUUCUCUGAUUGGCUGGACGAGGUGGGAGGGGUUUUACCAGAGAGCAGCGCUGCCUUAUUGGUCGAGACCUUGGUGGAGGUGAGUGGGGCUUUGCUAGGGGUCAGGGUCUGGAGUUCAUCCAUUGGCUCGUCCCUGACGGGCGUGGCAUCACCCCUGUCCAGUGAUUGGUUGGCUGAAUCCAGCUCCUCCCCGUUCUUCUUCUUCUUCAGUUUCUUCGCUUUCAGAGUUUUAGUUCCACCCUCUGACGUUUUGGUUCCCCCCUGCGUGCGCUCUUUACUAGCGUCCCCCUGCGUGCGGUCCUUAUUUCCAUCCCCCCUGGCGGAGGGUAUAGAGGACAAGGCGUGGUGAGUUCUGUGGGGUCCGGGAGGUCCCCCUCUCUCACCUCUCCUCACCCGCCCCUGGGGGGAGUAGUCUCUGGGUGGAGGGGUGAGGCGGUCCCUCUCUCUGCUGCCCCGGCCACCGCGGUGGUGCACCGAGGCAUGCUGGGUACUGUAGUCUUUGUAGUACUUGUUGUACCAGUCCCUGUACUCUUUCUCCCACUGUCUGUAGCUGUCUCUCUCCCAGCGCUCCCUGCCCCCGGGAGACAGGUCAGGUCCACCUUUAGGCUCGUAAGGGGGCGGCUCUCGAGGGGGAGGCUUAUGGUGACCUCUAACCCCUCCUGGACUCCUGCUCCUCCUGUAGCCCCCCGGGGAGCGAGACCUGGGCCGAUACCCCCCUCCUCCUUCAGCUCCGUCUCCUCCUUCCCAGCCCCCCCCACCACCACCACCUCGGUAAGGCGGAGGGGAGCGAGGAGAGCCGGAGCGACGGUAGCCGUAGGAACGGGAGCGUGAGCGGGACCGCGGCGAGCGGCCGUAGGAGCGGCUGCGUCCUCCCCGGCCUCCGUUGCGUCUGGAGAAGGGGGAGCGUCCGUAAGACCUGGAACGUGAGCGGGAGCGGCUGGGGGUGUACGAGUAAGACCUGGAGCGGGAGCGAGGAGAACGGGAUCGGGAGUAGGGGGAACGGCUGAAUGGAGAACGACUGUAGGAACGAGACCUGGUGAGGAGUGGGAGAAAAACAAAAAUUGAUAUGUCUGAUUACCAUCUCUACACAAUUCAUAUCAUCUCUGUCCUAGAUAUCAGAGAAUAUAUCUCUAUGAACAGUUCAAGAGGUUUAAUCCAGAAAUAUGUCUCAUCAGAUGUCAUUCUGUGUGUUACCUGGAGUAGGAGCGUCUCCGUCUCUUGGGAGCAGGUCUGUAUUCCAUCAGCUCUUUGGCAAAGUCUUUAGUGAACUCAUCCAGCUUGGACGUUACCCUGGUAACCCAGAGAGGCAGAACUGGUCACAUCCCAUAAUACAUGUCUGAAGGAAACCUUUGAACAGGUCAAUCUCUCUAAGCCACAGAAUGCAAGGAUUUAGGAUACUGGCCAGUCGGGUUACUAGCCCGGGGUAACAUUCCCCGCCACUAGC
rnacentral:lncRNA from 1 species